UACAGAGGGUGCAAGCGUUAAUCGGAAUUAUUGGGCGUAAAGGGCGCGUAGGCGGCCUGAUAAGUCGGGGGUGAAAGCCUGUGGCUCAACCACAGAAUUGCCUUCGAUACUGUUAGGCUUGAGACCGGAAGAGGUAAGUGGAACUGCGAGUGUAGAGGUGAAAUUCGUAGAUAUUCGCAAGAACACCAGCGGCGAAGGCGGCUUACUGGUCCGGUUCUGACGCUGAGGCGCGAAAGCGUGGGGAGCAAACAGG
rnacentral:rRNA from 1 species